ensembl:lncRNA
GUCAGGUGUGGUCAGCACUGUCGGCGCCAUCAUGCAGUUGUGUGGUCAGGUGUGGUUAGUCAUGUUGGCGCCAUCAUGCUUGUUGUGUGGUCAGGUGUGGUCAGCUCCGUCGGCACCAUCAUGCAGUUGUGUGGUCAGGUGUGGUCAGCGCUGUCAGCGCCAUCAUGCAGUUGUGUGGUCAGGUGUGGUCAGCGCUGUCAGCGCCAUCAUGCAGUUGUGUGGUCAGGUGUGGUCAGCGCUGUCAGCGCCAUCAUGCAGUUGUGUGGUCAGGUGCGGCAAAGAAGGACAUAGGCAAAUUGCGGUUUGUCCA